CGAUUGUUAAGCCCCGAACACCGAAUUUAGACUGACUGGGAACUCUUUCAUGCAAGACGUUAGAAAAUACUUCGGCAUAAGGAGCAUUGUUCCUAGCGAUGUCCAAAAUCUGCUCUACAGCUCAGAAAACAUCACAUCCCAGGAUUCUGGCCGAGCUACACAUGAUCAAAUCGCGGCAGCUUCCUUUCGCGUCUUCCAGUCUUUCUAUUGCACGGUAGAGGACAUACAGUGCCGCAAGGUACAAGACGAGAGAAUAAGGGAGACUGAGGCAAGGGCUAACCAGCUGCCAUACGAAUAACUCACUCAUCAGUCCCGGACAUCAAAGACAACAUUCAGGAAGAUUCAAGCUCAUGUACAGGUUAGGUUAAGUUAACACUCUGUUAGGAGGUAACGUGGUCCCACCGCUCACCUCUCAUUCUAGUUUAAUUAGUAUAGUUAACAAUGUGAGCCUGUCCCGCGAAGGGAAAAACAGGAUUUUAAUUAUACCCAUACCAUAAUGAAAGAUGGCAGUAGUGGAGUGGUAAUAUGAAAAACUGAUUCACCACUGGCCAAUGAUGUCGGUUAAUUAAAAAAAAAAAAAAUCGUAUCAUUUCUUUCUUAUAAACAUAUUAUUUCGUCAAUUGCUUCAAAACGUUUUAUGUUAUGUAACAGUUUGUCACUUACGACCAAACCGACACCUGCUCGAAGAUCCAGACCUCCACUAAAAGUAGAUCCAAUUAUUUGUGUUUACGUCUCCUUGCCCUAGCCAUCUUAUUUCUUGAAUCGCAGCUGAAUCCAGUUGAUACCGUUCAAGAUUCGAUAUCACUGUCGUCAAAUGUCCGGUCCUAUAUUACGAUCGUAUUACGAAUGCAUCAAUGAAUCAUCAUAAAUGUUUUAUAUUACAUAAUAUAUUGUUGACCGUUUUUUCACCCAACUUAAAAGGAAAGUAUAACCAAAACAUUAGUUCCUUCAAUGCCAGAAACAAGAACAAAUUUUUGUCUAGAUUUUCCGUGUUCAAUAGAAGCAC